rnacentral:misc_RNA from 1 species
ACUCCUCCACUUCACAUCUUUUUCGAAGGAUGUUGAAGCUGGGAUUUGGGAGCUUGCGGGUCCCUGGUCGAUCCGCUCUCCUUGAAUACAUUAGCGAAGCCCUUGCGGCCUUGGUGUGAUAGUCAUCUACGCCUCGGCUUAGCGAACUUAUGGGAGUCGCUUCCAAUCGUCUCGCAAGAGACAACUCACUACCA